AUCGAACGCUGGCGGCAUGCCUAACACAUGCAAGUCGAACGAGCGGCGGACGGGUGAGUAAUGUCUGGGGAACUGCCCGAUGGAGGGGGAUAACUACUGGAAACGGUAGCUAAUACCGCAUCCCCUCUGAUUUGCCCAUAUGGGAUUAGCUUGUAGGUGAGGUAAUGGCUCACCUAGGCGACGAUCCCUAGCUGGUCUGAGAGGAUGAUCAGCCACACUGGAACUGAGACACGGUCCAGACUCCUACGGGAGGCAGCAGUGGGGAAUAUUGCACAAUGGGCGCAAGCCUGAUGCAGCCAUGCCGCGUGUAUGAAGAAGGCCUUAGGGUUGUAAAGUACUUUCAGCGGGGAGGCGUUACCGGCAGAAGAAGCACCGGCUAACUCCGUGCCAGCAGCCGCGGUAAUUC
rnacentral:rRNA from 1 species